UGUACAUGUGUAUGUGUGUGUACAUGCACAUAUGUGUGUGUAUAUAUAUUUAUAUUCAUUCACCUUACAAGA
rnacentral:miRNA from 1 species